rnacentral:rRNA from 1 species
ACGGAAGGCAGCAGUGGGGAAUAUUGGGCAAUGGGCGAAAGCCUGACCCAGCAACGCCGCGUGAAGGAAGAAGGUCUUCGGAUUGUAAACUUCUUUUAUGAGGGACGAAGGACGUGACGGUACCUCAUGAAUAAGCCACGGCUAACUACGUGCCAGCAGCCGCGGUAAUACGUAGGUGGCGAGCGUUAUCCGGAUUUACUUGGUGUAAAGGGCGCGUAGGCGGGGAUGCAAGUCAGGUGUGAAAUCUAUGGGCUUAACCCAUAAACUGCACUGGAAACUGUAUGGCUUGAGUGCUGGAGAGGUAGAUGGUAUUCCUUGUGUAGCGGUGAAAUGCGUAGAUAUAAGGAAGAACACCAGUGGCGAAGGCGAUCUACUGGACAGUAACUGACGCUGAGGCGCGAAAGCGUGGGGAGCAAACAGGAUUAGAUACCCUGGUA